rnacentral:rRNA from 1 species
UUGCCCUAGUAACGGCGAGUGAAGCGGCAACAGCUCAAAUUUGAAAUCUGGCCCCUUUGGGGUCCGAGUUGUAAUUUGCAGAGGGUGCUUUGGCGUUGGCAGCGGUCUAAGUUCCUUGGAACAGGACAUCGCAGAGGGUGAGAAUCCCGUAUGUGGUCGCAUGCCUCCGCCGUGUAAAGCCCCUUCGACGAGUCGAGUUGUUUGGGAAUGCAGCUCUAAAUGGGAGGUAAAUUUCUUCUAAAGCUAAAUACCGGCCAGAGACCGAUAGCGCACAAGUAGAGUGAUCGAAAGAUGAAAAGCACUUUGGAAAGAGAGUCAAACAGCACGUGAAAUUGUUGAAAGGGAAGCGCUUGCAGCCAGACUUGCCUGUAGUUGCUCACCCGGGCUCCUGCCCGGGGCACUCUUCUGCAGGCAGGCCAGCAUCAGUUUGGGCGGUCGGAUAAAGGGCUCUGACACGUACUUCCCUUCGGGGUUGACAUACAGGGGAGCCGCAAUGCGAUCAGCCCGGACUGAGGUCCGCGCAUCUGCUAGGAUGCUGGCGUAAUGGCUGUAAGCGGCCCGUCUUGAAACACGGACCAAGGAGUCUAACAUCUAUGCGAGUGUUUGGGUGUCAAGCCCGAGCGCGUAAUGAAAGUGAACGGAGGUGGGAACCCCUUUCGGGGUGCACCAUCGACCGAUCCUGAUGUCUUCGGAUGGAUUUGAGUAAGAGCAUAGCUGUUGGGACCCGAAAGAUGGUGAACUAUGCUUGAAUAGGGUGAAGCCAGAGGAAACUCUGGUGGAGGCUCGCAGCGGUUCUGACGUGCAAAUCGAUCGUCAAAUUUGGGCAUAGGGGCGAAAGACUAAUCGAACUAUCUAGUAGCUGGUCUGCGGAG